ensembl:lncRNA
UCGUGGAUUCUGAAAUUUGAAUCUGAAAGAAUCAAGAAUCUGAAAUUUGAAGCAUCUUAACAACUGAUGGCAUCUUACAACUGCAGUGACUGUGAUGGAAGUCUGAUUUCUUCCAGGGAAUACCUGCAUUUGCUUCUGUCAGAACCUGGGACACUCCAAGCAGAGGCUACUUCAGAAUGAAUUCUAUGCCUGCUAGUGUGGACUCCAUCCACUGAGUGACCGGAACACUGUUUUGUGGUACACAGCCUCAUGGAAGUCUUAUUUUCUCUCUGCCCCAUGUCUCCAGAUGGAGGCAGGCAGGUUUCCCCACCGACCUUUCUGCACAGCAGUUAUUUCUCUUUACUUUCACCCAGAGCAUGACUCUGGUGCCCCAGUUUUAUGUGCAGGUCUCCUGUUAGACUCUCCACCUUGGGCAUUUUUUAAUUUCUAAGUUGUGUUUAAAUCGAUGCUAUAUAAAAUAAUUGUUUGCACUUUAUCUCUAUGAUACGGUAAUUCCAUUUGCAUAUUUGAAAAAUGAAGGUGUUAGUUCAGAACCUGUGGGCAGAGGUGAGUGAAGGAACAGUAAAGAGGCGCCUACAAAUGCCUGUUGAUUAAUUCACUGGUUGAUUGGUCCUGACCCUACAUCUCUCGGAAUUAGAUUCUCAAUCGAUCCACUUUAUUCUGAAUCCAAAUCUCAGGUGAGCAGGCUUUCAAAGAGGUACGCAUAGCUCGAUAUGUCAACUCGAGACAACAAAUGACAUUUAACUUAUCAUUUCAAUCAUCGCAUCAGGGAUGGAAAGAGAGAAGUUGGGACUGUCCUGCGAGCACGUCUCAGGGCAGAGCAGAGGCCAGGUGGCUCCUCACCUUCCACCUCCAGCUCAGCUCAGCUCAUGAGGCCAAAGGCCCUCAGAUCCCCCAGCUCCACCCAACUGGUUUUAAAAUUCCUUUGCACUUGUUAUGCUUUGAGGGUUCUUUUGGAGAAAACCACAACUUUGAAUACUCAUCAGCAAUUCCACGCUCAGCCACAGGGAUGAAUCCCACAGGGCUCCUGCUGCAUGGAUCCAUUUGGAAGUCUCACCUGAGGGGAGGACCGUCUAUCCAGGCCUCUCGAUCUGUGCUUCAGCCUGGCUGUCUCCAUGGGGCUUCCCUGGUUGGAUGUUUUUUCAGGGCCCCAGUCACGUAGGCCCAAGCCUACGAAGGUAAAGGAACAAGUUUUUCCACCCCUACAAAGACCUACGGAGACCAUCAGCACUUGCUGAUCUGGGCAGAAGCACAAGGCAGGCAGAGAGAUUGAAGUGGCCGAAGUGACGAGUCCAGACAAGCCAGGACCAAGCAUUGUCUGGAGCAGCCGAGUCUUCAUAGCAGCAGCCCCAGCUGAAGGAGGAGCUCACGUUCAUUCUCGAAAAGACAGCUGGUUGUGCAAUCACAGGGCUGCUGCCAGGGGCCGGGAGCAGAGCUGUCCACGGAUGACCUUCCUUCCAGGCCCCGCAGCCCCCUGCGGAGGGCUGGCUCUGUUCUCUCUCCUCCUGUCUCCUUAGCUAACCUGGAGGAGCCUCAUGAACACAUGUACAAUAAGAACUCUCCAGUUCUACAAUUCUAGAAUUACACCCACCAAGCACAGUAAAAACUCAUUAAUGCAGACCACUUGUUCCAAGUUUCUAAUUAUUCCUUUUGGACUAAGCUUAAGUUUAUUUUGCUCAGCAAAAUUUUAUUAUAGAUAGCUCAAAUUAAAGAGAGAAUAA